AAAAUUAAAACAUAGCAUGUAUCCCCGAUGAUACUACAAGAACACGUAUGGUUCAUGUAUUUUAACGGCAUAAAGGACAAAAAAUGAAUUUAGUCAUCUUCCGACACAAUCUUGGCAAUGAAAAACCAAUUUGCUUUAUAGAUGACGGUAUUUUCCACUGUAAAGAACAAUCAUAAUAUAAACUUUAAAAAAUUCUAGAGUUUCAGUAAUUCAUUCAUUCGUCAAUUCAAACCCUCUAUUUCAAAAUCCUUAGCUUCGAUGAAAUCCUAAAAUAAAAACACUGCAAUAGAUCAGUGACAAAACUCGAUAGAAACAAUAAAAUACAGAAAGUGUAACGACUUGUUCGAGGCCAUAAUCAAAACAAAGUGAAUCUGAAAGGCACGGAGAAUCGCAAUUGUUUUCGCCAACCUUCAAUGCAAGUUGCGUCAAUUUCAGAAAAUACACGCACUUGCUCUGCAAAUUGGCUUUCUUUUCAGGAAAAACUUGAAAAUAAUAGAAUAAGAAACACUACAAUACUUACAUACUGAUGAGAAUUGGAAAUCAAACAGCAGAAGCCUCUAACCCAAUUUCGAAGACGGAACAGAAGUAAGAUAUGAUUGAGAUUUGUGGUGCCUCCCUUUUAUAGAUACCUAAAUGGAACGGUAAACCCUAAUUUCCUACUGCGGCGCGGCCAGGGUUGUUAUAGGAUUUGGGUUUCAUGUUACGCCCACCAUGGCUCAUUGGGCUUUAGUUC
rnacentral:lncRNA from 1 species